rnacentral:rRNA from 1 species
AGUGUCUGGUGGGUAGUUUGACUGGGGCGGUCUCCUCCUAAAGCGUAACGGAGGAGCACGAAGGUUGGCUAAUCCUGGUCGGACAUCAGGAGGUUAGUGCAAUGGCAUAAGCCAGCUUGACUGCGAGCGUGACGGCGCGAGCAGGUGCGAAAGCAGGUCAUAGUGAUCCGGUGGUUCUGAAUGGAAGGGCCAUCGCUCAACGGAUAAAAGGUACUCCGGGGAUAACAGGCUGAUACCGCCCAAGAGUUCAUAUCGACGGCGGUGUUUGGCACCUCGAUGUCGGCUCAUCACAUCCUGGGGCUGAAGUAGGUCCCAAGGGUAUGGCUGUUCGCCAUUUAAAGUGGUACGCGAGCUGGGUUUAGAACGUCGUGAGACAGUUCGGUCCCUAUCUGCCGUGGGCGCUGGAGAACUGAGGGGGGCUGCUCCUAGUACGAGAGGACCGGAGUGGACGCAUCACUGGUGUUCGGGUUGUCAUGCCAAUGGCACUGCCCGGUAGCUAAAUGCGGAAGAGAUAAGUGCUGAAAGCAUCUAAGCACGAAACUUGCCCCGAGAUGAGUUCUCCCUGAGACUACAAGUCUCCUGAAGGAACGUUGAAGACGACGACGUUGAUAGGCCGGGUGUGUAAGCGCAGCGAUGCGUUGAGCUAACCGGUACUAAUGAACCGUGAGGCUUAACCUUACAACGCCGAAGGUGUUU